rnacentral:lncRNA from 1 species
GGACAUGACCCGUAAUUUACAAUUUAGGGAAUAAAAAUGACAGGAAAACCAAGAUAGAGGAAACCAUAAUAGAGAAAUCCAGAAAGACAUCAUUCCAACCCAUUGGAAACAAUUACAACAAGAACGAUAUACUUCCUGUAUGUAUAUAUAUCAGGCAGAGUAAUAAUUGGAAGGAACAAAAUCAUAGCAUCAUACACAU